rnacentral:rRNA from 1 species
UACGAAGGGGCUAGCGUUGCUCGGAAUCACUGGGCGUAAAGGGUGCGUAGGCGGGUCUUUAAGUCAGGGGUGAAUCCUGGAGCUCAACUCCAGAACUGCCUUGAUACUGAAGAUCUUGAGUUCGGGAGAGGUGAGUGGAACUGCGAGUGUAGAGGUGAAAUUCGUAGAUAUUCGCAAGAACACCAGUGGCGAAGGCGGCUCACUGGCCCGAUACUGACGCUGAGGUGCGAAAGCGUGGGAGCAACAGG